AGGGGCGUCGCCAAGCGGUAAGGCAACGGACUUUGACUCCGUCAUGCGUUGGUUCGAAUCCAGCCGCCCCUGCCA
rnacentral:tRNA from 1 species